UACGUAGGGGGCAAGCGUUAUCCGGAUUUACUGGGUGUAAAGGGAGCGUAGACGGCCAGACAAGUCAGAAGUGAAAACCCGCGGCUCAACUGCGGGAGUGCUUUUGAAACUGUUUGGCUGGAGUGCAGGAGAGGUAAGUGGAAUUCCUAGUGUAGCGGUGAAAUGCGUAGAUAUUAGGAGGAACACCAGUGGCGAAGGCGGCUUACUGGACUGUAACUGACGUUGAGGCUCGAAAGCGUGGGGAGCAAACAGG
rnacentral:rRNA from 2 species